GGACCAGUAGCAUAACGGUUAAUGCGACUGGGAUAUGUAACGUCACAUUCUCCCAGGGGGUUCCCCGUUCGACUCGGGGCUGAUCCA